rnacentral:rRNA from 1 species
UACAGAGGUGGCAAGCGUUGUUCGGAAUUACUGGGCGUAAAGGGCGCGUAGGCGGCCCGUCAAGUCCCGUGUGAAAGCCCCCGGCUCAACCGGGGAACGGCGCGGGAAACUAGCAGGCUUGAGUUCGGGAGAGGGAAGCGGAAUUCCGGGUGUAGCGGUGAAAUGCGCAGAUAUCCGGAGGAACACCGGUGGCGAAGGCGGCUUCCUGGACCGACACUGACGCUGAGGCGCGAAAGCUGGGGGAGCAAACGGG